rnacentral:rRNA from 1 species
GAUGAACGCUGGCGGCGUGCCUAAUACAUGCAAGUCGAGCGAACAGACGAGGAGCUUGCUCCUUUGACGUUAGCGGCGGACGGGUGAGUAACACGUAGAUAACCUACCUAUAAGACUGGGAUAACUUCGGGAAACCGGAGCUAAUACCGGAUAAUAUAUCGAACCGCAUGGUUCAAUAGUGAAAGAUGGCUUUGCUGUCACUUAUAGAUGGAUCCGCGCCGGAUUAGCUAGUUGGUAAGGUAACGGCUUACCAAGGCAACGAUGCUUAGCCGACCUGAGAGGGUGAUCGGCCACACUGGAACUGAGACACGGUCCAGACUCCUACGGGAGGCAGCAGUAGGGAAUCUUCCGCAAUGGGCGAAAGCCUGACGGAGCAACGCCGCGUGGGUGAUGAAGGUCUUCGGAUCGUAAAACUCUGUUAUUAGGGAAGAACAAAUGUGUAAGUAACUAUGCACGUCUUGACGGUACCUAAUCAGAAAGCCACGGCUAACUACGUG